rnacentral:rRNA from 1 species
UACGCUGGCGGCAGGCUUAACACAUGCAAGUCGAGCGGUAGCACAGGGGAGCUUGCUCCCUGGGUGACGAGCGGCGGACGGGUGAGUAAUGUCUGGGAAACUGCCUGAUGGAGGGGGAUAACUACUGGAAACGGUAGCUAAUACCGCAUAACGUCGCAAGACCAAAGAGGGGGACCUUCGGGCCUCUUGCCAUCAGAUGUGCCCAGAUGGGAUUAGCUAGUAGGUGGGGUAAUGGCUCACCUAGGCGACGAUCCCUAGCUGGUCUGAGAGGAUGACCAGCCACACUGGAACUAGACACGGUCCAGACUCCUACGGGAGGCAGCAGUGGGGAAUAUUGCACAAUGGGCGCAAGCCUGAUGCAGCCAUGCCGCGUGUGUGAAGAAGGCCUUCGGGUUGUAAAGCACUUUCAGCGAGGAGGAAGGUGGUGAGCUUAAUACGCUCAUCAAUUGACGUUACUCGCAGAAGAAGCACCGGCUAACUCCGUGCCAGCAGCCGCGGUAAUACGGAGGGUGCAAGCGUUAAUCGGAAUUACUGGGCGUAAAGCGCACGCAGGCGGUUUGUUAAGUCAGAUGUGAAAUCCCCGGGCUCAACCUGGGAACUGCAUUUGAAACUGGCAAGCUAGAGUCUCGUAGAGGGGGGUAGAAUUCCAGGUGUAGCGGUGAAAUGCGUAGAGAUCUGGAGGAAUACCGGUGGCGAAGGCGGCCCCCUGGACGCAAGCCUGACGUCCAGGUGCGAAAGCGUGGGGAGCAAAC